rfam:Zootermopsis nevadensis contig2455, whole genome shotgun sequence.
GCCACGGUGGUCUAGCGGUCAGAACACUAGCAUUGUAAGCCUGGGGUCCCGGGUUCAAUUCCCGGUGGUGCUC